GGCAGAUGCAAUAUUUCUAAAAAUGAAACUUAAGAUACAAUUUCAUAUUUCAUUCCACAAACAGCCCUGAGAGAAUUCUGUCUUGUCUUUCAGGGUGGAGCAUUACUCCCUGCCAGCCUUCAAACAGUAUCAAAAACCUGAUUUCUUCCCAGGUCGCAAAUUAUCCAGAGGCCCCGGAAUGCAGAUGCAAAAGCCAAGGUAACAGGAAAUUGGCCAUUCAGCACAUCAUCUACAGUAGCUGCUCCAGCCAGCCAACGGACUGAUGGAUGGCUUUGCUGUGAUAGUGGGGUCAUAAAUUCUGCAGAUGAAGCUGAUAAAUGAGCUGAAGCUACAUUGACAGGUCCAGGUUUUUCUUUCUCCUAGGUGUGUUCUGACACAGAGGCUAUGACAGGUGAAGGUGCUUAGUAAUCAGUGGAGACAGCGCAGGCAGGUGUUCUGAUCAUCAUCAACACUUCUCGAUAAAACCAGACAUCAUUCUUUGCUUGGAGUGGGACUUUCUUCACCUACUUGUGCCUCCUGGAUCCGCUGUCUGCUCUGUCCUGUCCGUUGGAGAGCAACUCACCUGUUGGAUUCCUGGGUUCCAUUCUUCUACUAGUCUGCUCUCCAUUCCUGCCUACAAAGCCAGCACCUGUCUCCUCACACCAGGAGCCGUUAGCCCCCAGCUCGCUUAACCCUGCCACUCCUACGCCUGCCUCUCCACCGUAGCCCUACAAUCUACACCUGCUGGGUCGUCAC
ensembl:lncRNA